UGGGGAAUAUUGGACAAUGGGCGCAAGCCUGAUCCAGCAAUGCCGCGUGUGUGAAGAAGGCCUUCGGGUUGUAAAGCACUUUUAUCAGGAGCGAAACGCUGUCGGCUAAUACCCGGCGGAACUGACGGUACCUGAGGAAUAAGCACCGGCUAACUUCGUGCCAGCAGCCGCGGUAAUACGAAGGGUGCAAGCGUUAAUCGGAAUUACUGGGCGUAAAGCGUGCGUAGGCGGUUUCUUAAGUCUGCUGUGAAAUCCCCGGGCUCAACCUGGGAAUGGCAGUGGAUACUGGGAGGCUAGAGUGUGUCAGAGGGUGGUGGAAUUCCCGGUGUAGCGGUGGAAUGCGUAGAGAUCGGGAGGAACAUCAGUGGCGAAGGCGGCCACCUGGGACAACACUGACGCUGAGGCACGAAAGCGUGGGGAGCAAACAGGAUUAGAUACCCUGGUAGUCCACGCCCUAAACGAUGCGAACUGGAUGUUGGUCUCAACUCGGAGAUCGGUGUCGAAGCUAACGCGUUAAGUUCGCCGCCCCGGGGGAGUACGGUCGCAAGACGU
rnacentral:rRNA from 1 species